UAACGUCGGGAAAUCCAGAUGCAGAUUAGCUCCGAACCCGAAUACUCCGACCGCUGCAAGAAUGAUGAUCUGCACGAUACCAAGAACGAACCGCACCAUCAUACCGCCAAGUCCGAACAGCCCCAUUUUCACCGGUGUCAUCCUCAACCGCUUUAGAAGUCCCUUACGUC
rnacentral:misc_RNA from 1 species